AACGAACGCUGGCGGCGCGCCUAAUACAUGCAAGUCGAGCGAGAAGACGUAGCAAUACGUUUGUAAAGCGGCGAACGGGUGAGGAAUACAUGGGUAACCUACCCUCGAGUGGGGAAUAACUAGCCGAAGGUUAGCUAAUACCGCGUACGCUCCUUGGACUUCGGUUCAGGGAGGAAAGCGAUACCGUGGGUAUCGCGCUCUUGGAUGGGCUCAUGUCCUAUCAGCUUGUUGGUGAGGAACGGCUCACCAAGGCUUCGACGGGUAGCUGGUCUGAGAGGACGAUCAGCCACACUGGCACUGCGACACGGGCCAGACUCCUACGGGAGGCGGCAGUAAGGAAUAUUGCGCAAUGGGCGAAAGCCUGACGCAGCGACGCCGCGUGGGGGAUGAAGGUCUU
rnacentral:rRNA from 1 species